GGCCUACGGGAGGCUGCAGUGGGGAAUAUUGGACAAUGGGCGAAAGCCUGAUCCAGCCAUGCCGCGUGAGUGAUGAAGGCCCUAGGGUUGUAAAGCUCUUUCAACGGUGAAGAUAAUGACGGUAACCGUAGAAGAAGCCCCGGCUAACUUCGUGCCAGCAGCCGCGGUAAUACGAAGGGGGCUAGCGUUGUUCGGAUUUACUGGGCGUAAAGCGCACGUAGGCGGAUAUUUAAGUUAGGGGUGAAAUCCCAGGGCUCAACCCUGGAACUGCCUCUAAUACUGGAUAUCUAGAGUCCGAGAGAGGUGAGUGGAAUUCCGAGUGUAGAGGUGAAAUUCGUAGAUAUUCGGAGGAACACCAGUGGCGAAGGCGGCUCACUGGCUCGGUACUGACGCUGAGGUGCGAAAGCGUGGGGAGCAAACAGGAUUAGAUACCCCAGUAGUCC
rnacentral:rRNA from 1 species